UGUAAUAUUAACGUUGUGCAGAAGUUCUCUGCUUCUUAUCAUGAAAGAUCAUUUUCAAAUGAAGUUCAUUUAUCGUGCCUACACAUUCCCUUCUAAACAUAAUGCUUCAAGCUGACCCACGAAAGAGGUGGAUAUAAGAGAUCACAGAGUGUGUGCUUUUUGUUUACGUGAAAUCUCCAGAGACAACGAAACUGUUGCGGCUUAAAGCCGAAAGGUGGCUGGAAGGGCCAGAGGCUCAGAAACUGGAGUUCAUGGUACGCGCUCUUGAGGGAUCUUACUGAGAGAUGAAAAUGUUCUAAAACCGGUUUACAGCGAUGGCUGCAUGUGUGAAACUGUGAACACAGAUGUAUAAAAGUCAUUGAAUCGUGCAACUGACAUGUGGACAUCAGAGGACAACAUUCAAGAGUCGGUUCCUUCCUUCUACUUGAGUUCGUGGCAUUGAACUUGGGUUGUCAGGCUUGAGCAGCAAGUCCCUCGGCCUUCAGAACCACCUCGCCGUCCCUCAUGCAAGCCUAAUAUUAGAAUUGAGACUGAAGUCGGAAUACGCUCACCAAUUCAGUCAAUAAGUACAGUAUGGGCCUCUGAGACAGCUCAGCAGGUUCUUCUACAAUAGGGUGUUGGAAAGAGAAGUCUGCAUUUAAGGUUUGCUUUUUAAGAUGAGAGAACUUUUUUUGUGGCUGAUCUAUGACACAGCUAUCAGAUGUGGGCAAUGGAAACUGAGUCCAGGUCCUCUCCAAGUGCUCUCAACCACUGAAGCACGUCUCCAGGCCCGGCUGCCAAGCCUGCUUGAUUGAAAGCAUGAGGAUAAAUGUCCCAGCUCUUGAUGACUGAGUCACAGAACCAACUCUGGAGACCCUCGUUGUGUGAUAACUACCUCUGUCCCUGAAUCAUUUUCAAUUAGUUGCUCUUCUUUACAGCAGAAACUAUCUCAGCUAAAACAGUGACCAAGAGCCAGGUGGACAUGUCUUUAAUCCCAGCACUCAGGAAGUGGAGCCUGGUCUACAGAGUGAGUUCCAGGACAGCCAGGGUUACACAGAGAAAGCCUGUCUCCAAAACCAAAAUAAUUAAAACUUAAAACAGUGACAAAAA
ensembl:lincRNA Gm5103 predicted gene 5103